rnacentral:rRNA from 1 species
UAAUACGAAGGGUGCAAGCGUUACUCGGAAUUACUGGGCGUAAAGCGUGCGUAGGUGGUGAGUUAAGUCUGUCGUGAAAGCCCCGGGCUCAACCUGGGAAUGGCGAUGGAUACUGGCUCGCUAGAGUGCGGUAGAGGAGAGUGGAAUUCCCGGUGUAGCAGUGAAAUGCGUAGAGAUCGGG